rnacentral:rRNA from 1 species
AAGAACCCCGGGAGGGGAGUGAAAUAGAACCUGAAACCGCAUACAUACAAACAGUAGGAGCCUCGUUAAGGGGUGACUGCGUACCUUUUGCAUAAUGGGUCAGCGACUUACGUUUAAUGGCAAGCUUAACCGAUUAGGGGAGGCGUAGCGAAAGCGAGUUCGAAUAGAGCGAUUUGAGUCGUUAGGCGUAGACCCGAAACCAGAUGAUCUAUCCAUGGUCAGGUUGAAGAUGUGGUAACACACAUUGGAGGACCGAACCGACUAGUGUUGCAAAAUUAGCGGAUGAACUGUGGAUAGGGGUGAAAGGCUAAACAAAUCUGGAGAUAGCUGGUUCUCCCCGAAAACUAUUGAGGUAGUGCCUCGUGUAUAACUCCAGGGGGUAGAGCACUGUUAUGGCUAGGGGGACAUGGCGUCUUACCAAACCAUGGCAAACUCCGAAUACUUGGAAGUUGAGCACGGGAGACAGAGCACCGGGUGCUAACGUCCGGACUCAAGAGGGAAACAACCCAGACCGCCGGCUAAGGUCCCUAAUAUUGUCUAAGUGGAAAACGAAGUGGAAAGGCUAAAACAGUCAGGAAGUUGGCUUAGAAGCAGCCAUCCUUUAAAGAAAGCGUAAUAGCUCACUGAUCGAGUCUUUCUGCGCGGAAGAUGUAACGGGGCUAAGACAAUAACCGAAGCCGCGGAUUCACACGUAAGUGUGAGUGGUAGGGGAGCGUUCUGUAAGCCUGCGAAGGUGGCUUGUAAAGGCUGCUGGAGGUAUCAGAAGUGCGAAUGCUGACAUGAGUAACGUUAAAGUGGGUGAAAAGCCCACUCGCCGUAAGCCCAAGGUUUCCUGCUCUACGUUCAUCGGAGCAGGGUGAGUCGGCCCCUAAGGUGAGGCUGAUAAGCGUAACUGAUGGGAACAAGGUUAAUAUUCCUUGACCGCCGUUGAGUGCGAAGGGGGGACGGAGUAUUGAAGAUCAUCCGGGUGUUGGAUAUCCCGGUUUGCGCGCGUAGGAGGCUGAUAGGCAAAUCCGUCAGCGAAUCUCCGAGGCAAAGCAUCGAGACCUUUUAGGUCGAAGUGAUUGGAUGUGCUCCCAGGAAAAGCCUCUAAGCUCCAGCUCAACGGGACCGUACCGCAAACCGACACUGGUGGGCGAGCUGAAUAUGCUCAGGCGCUUGAGAGAACUCAGGAGAAGGAACUCGGCAAAUUGACACCGUAACUUCGGGAUAAGGUGUGCCUUUGUAGUGUGAAGGAAGAAACAUCCGGAGCAUGAAGAGGUCUCAGAGAAUUGGUGGCUGCGACUGUUUACUAAAAACACAGCACUCUGCAAAGACGAAAGUCGACGUAUAGGGUGUGAUGCCUGCCCGGUGCUGGAAGAUUAAUUGAUGGGGUGCAAGCUCCUGAUCGAAGUCCCAGUAAACGGCGGCCGUAACUAUAACGGUCCUAAGGUAGCGAAAUUCCUUGUCGGGCAAGUUCCGACCUGCACGAAUGGCAUAACGAUGGCCACACUGUCUCCUCCUGAGACUCAGUGAAGUUGAAGUGUUUGUGAUGAUGCAAUCUCCCCGCGGCUAGACGGAAAGACCCCAUGAACCUUUACUGUAGCUUUGCAUUGGACUUUGAACCGAUCUGUGUAGGAUAGGCGGGAGGCUGAGAAGCGGUGACGCUAGUCAUCGUGGAGCCGUCCUUGAAAUACCGCCCUGAUUUGUUUGAGGUUCUAACCUAGGUCAGUGAUCCUGUCGUGGGACCGUGCAUGGUAGGCAGUUUGACUGGGGCGGUCUCCUCCUAAAGGGUAACGGAGGAGUACGAAGGUACGCUAGGUACGGUCGGAAAUCGUGCUGAUAGUGCAAAGGCAAAAGCGUGCUUGACUGCGAGACCCACAAGUCGAGCAGAUACGAAAGUAGGUCUUAGUGAUCCGGUGGCUCUGUAUGGAAGGGCCAUCGCUCAACGGAUAAAAGGUACUCUGG